rfam:Paenisporosarcina sp. HGH0030 genomic scaffold acAqH-supercont1.1, whole genome shotgun sequence.
ACAUCCUUUUAAUACCUAGUCCAGAGAGGCAGGAAAAGGGAAACCAACUGGUAGAGUUCCGUGACAACAUGGAUCUUUGCUUGAAGGUACCCCUACAGCCUCUCAACACUUGUUGAGAGGUUUUCUUUUA